AGCCACGGGGCGGGGCGCAGUGGGGCGGGAUGGAGUCUGGCGCCUGGGGAGGCGCGGAGGUGCUUCCAGCGGACGGCAGCGCGCGAGACCAGGCCAGGCGUCAAAGCAAGUCACCCAUCCGACCUAAACCCCUCUAAGACCCCGGAGUCACGUCUCCCUCCGGGGAUCCUCGUGAGGUCUUGGGGGUCCCACCGCCCUGCGAGCCGCGCCCGCGCCCCGCCAGACCCGGAACUGCGUCGCUAGCCCUUCUCUGUACCAGGCCGGGAGAGGGAGGCGGCGCCGCAGAGCCUCGGGUGCAGUCUGAGAAGUUUGGGAGUGACUUGAAGAGUGACUGGAAGCACCCCAGACCCGGUUUGUCCGGUCACAGCCGGGUCCUUACGUGAGUUAGGAGAGGAGUGGGGGUCGGACGGGAGCCCCACUGAGAGUAAGGGCGCGCGUUUGUUCACAGAACGUCGGGACCUGGUUCCCUCUUUAAUCACACCCCCGGGGGCGCUUCGUGUGAGGUUCCACGGGGGAAGGCGAGAGGCGCAGGCUGCCACACACGCACUGUUUGGAAGAGGGGAAGCAUUGCCCCCCCUGCACCACCUCACCAAGAUGGCUACUUUGGGACACACAUUCCCCUUCUAUGCUGGCCCCAAGCC
rnacentral:lncRNA from 1 species